GAUGAACGCUAGCGGCAGGCUUAACACAUGCAAGUCGAGGGGUAUUGGUUUUCGGACCAAGAGACCGGCGCACGGGUGCGUAACGCGUAUGCAAUCUACCUUUUGCAGAGGGAUAGCCCCAGAGAAAUUUGGAUUAAUACCUCAUAGUAUAGUACUUUGGCAUCAAGGAACUAUUAAAGUCACAACGGCAAAAGAUGAGCAUGCGUCCCAUUAGCUAGUUGGUAAGGUAACGGCUUACCAAGGCUACGAUGGGUAGGGGUCCUGAGAGGGAGAUCCCCCACACUGGUACUGAGACACGGACCAGACUCCUACGGGAGGCAGCAGUGAGGAAUAUUGGACAAUGGGCGCAAGCCUGAUCCAGCCAUGCCGCGUGCAGGAUGACGGUCCCUAUGGAUUGUAAAACUGCUUUUUAANACAGGAAGAAACACUCCGACGUGCGGAGCUUGACGGUACUGUAAGAAGU
rnacentral:rRNA from 1 species